AGUGGCGGACGGGUGAGUAACGCGCGAGGAUCUGCCCUUAGGAUGGGGACAACAGUUGGAAACGACUGCUAAUACCCAAUGUGCCGAAAGGUGAAAGCUUUAGCGCCUGAGGAUGAACUCGCGUCUGAUUAGCUAGUUGGUAGUGUAAUGGACUACCAAGGCGACGAUCAGUAGCUGGUCUGAGAGGAUGAUCAGCCACACUGGGACUGAGACACGGCCCAGACUCCUACGGGAGGCAGCAGUGGGGAAUUUUCCGCAAUGGGCGAAAGCCUGACGGAGCAACGCCGCGUGAGGGAAGACGGCUCGUGGGUUGUAAACCUCUUUUCUCUAGGAAGAAGAACUGACGGUACUAGAGGAAUCAGCAUCGGCUAACCCCGUGCCAGCAGCCGCGGUAAUACGGAGGAUGCAAGCGUUAUCCGGAAUUAUUGGGCGUAAAGCGUCCGUAGGCGGUUUUACAAGUCUGCUGUUAAAGCGUGCAGCUCAACUGCAUAUAGGCAGUGGAAACUGUAAGACUAGAGUGUAGUAGGGGUAGAGGGAAUUCCCAGUGUAGCGGUGAAAUGCGUAGAUAUUGGGAAGAACACCGGUGGCGAAAGCGCUCUACUGGGCUACAACUGACGCUGAUGGACGAAAGCUAGGGGAGCGAAAGGGAUUAGAUACCCCUGUAGUCCUAGCCGUAAACGAUGGACACUAGGUGUUG
rnacentral:rRNA from 1 species